AGUGCUGGGAUUAUAGGCGUGAGCCACUGCACCAGGCUGACAUUAUUCCCAUUUUACAAAUGGAGACUUGGGGGCUCAAAGAGGAUAGGAAAUAUGCCCAAAUCCCACAGCAUAUGAGGCAAAAAGGAGAUGCAAGCCCAAGCUUUAGUGUUCACAUCCUCUCUACAGCACCACAUGAAGGAUGACGCUUAAUGGCCUACGGCCUGUUCUUUAACUGUAUCAAACCUUCUCCCCAUUCCCACCCUUUCAAUUAAGUACUGGUUUUGGUGGCCAAACUAUAAAGAAUAAGGCUCAUCAGGUGGGGCCAGCCAGCCCUGUAAGGGGAAUCUGAGAAAGUGAAUUGGGCCAUACUUCGCUCAGCACCUGGCUCAGAGCAGAGGUUUAACUGGACUUCAAUAGCACUGCUGAAUGAAUGGAUAAAUGUGUUUUAAAUUCAAGAGUAAUGAGAAGUUGGAGAUGGAUGUUGGUGAUGGUUGUACAACAAUGUGAAUGUACUUAAUACCACCAAACUGUAAGUUUAGAAAUGGUUAAAAUGGUAAAUUGUAUGUUGAAUGUAUUUUAUCACAAAUUUUGAAAAAGUCAAACGUGCAUGGGGAGACUGGAGAGAGUCAUAUAAAGCCAUAUAAAGGAAUUUACUUAUUAUCAACUGUUUUAUUAUUCAUUUGUUCUCUGCCAGUUGAAAGCAGUCACAUUCUGCACAAAACAAACUGACAUAUACAAAGCUAACUUAAAAAGAUGUAUAAGACCUUAAAUAAGAUGUGGCAUCGAGAUGACCUGGAUUUAAGGGUGACAAAUGUUGUGGUUGACCACAGUGGGUUCUGGAAUUAGAUUGUCUAGGUGUAAUGCCUGGCUUUUUGUCUCUUAGCUGUAUGAACUGGGACCAGUUAUUUAAUGUCUUUUUUUCUCAUCUGUAAAAUGAGGAUUAUAAUACUAGCUAACACAUAAGAUUCUUGGGAGCUAAUCCAGGUAAGAGACAAGCUAUAAUGCUUUGAAAGCACUCAAAAAAUCCCAACUAUGAUUAGUAAGGCUCCAAAAGUGACUAAAAACGAAGGGCCUUCAGUUAUCAGUCUAACUCAAACCAGGCUCCUGCCUGUAAACAGCUAUGAGUGACUUCGUGUGUCAUCUUUCCUCUCUUUUCCCUAGGUAUGGAAUAUUCUCUAUGCUGACCUCUUGAAUAAUGCCCCAAGAAUGCAUGCCUUUCUUGAUCAUUCUGUGAAAUAUUGCUCAGUACAGGAACGAGUGAAUUGUAGAUGGAUAAAUAUCUAAACAAACUUUGGUCAUGCUGCAAGCCUAGAGGAGUACCUGAUUCUUCUGGGUAUAGCUCAAGGAACACCCACCCCAGAAUGGAAGUCAUUUAGCAGGAAAGCAGUGCUCCGCUGUUCUCUGAGCACCAUUGACCACUUACUUAUUGGAUUGUGGAAGACACCUAACUCAAAUUUGGAGCAAGAAGUGGCUUGAAAUCAAGAUCUCUUCCCCAGAAGAGACAACAAUGAAUAGAUCUGCGGUUGGCUGAAUCCACCAAGGUGGAACCUGUGGAUACCAAGAACCAACUGUGUAAGAUCCCCAAGAUGUUAAAUCCUUUCGAAGAAGUAAAUGUCAACUGUGAGCAUCACAACAGCCUUCACUGGAGCAAAGGUCUUUCUGGGUGAUUCACAUGGUUUAAGCAACUCUCAUAUUAAGAUGACUCUAUCUAUCAUCCAUUAUAUUGCUGUUGAAGAGGAGUUGCUGGCUCAGCAGGCCUCUUUGUCUCUGUUCUCAUGACAAGGACAUAUCACCUAACUCUGGGCUCUGGCUCACUUAGCAGCUUCUUUGCCGUUGGACUCUCACAUCGAGAUGUCACCUAGCAGCAGCCUUUCCCAGGAAGUUGUUAAGGAGAUGGGAAUCCUCAUGCCUGCUGCUUUUUCCCAAAUAAGAGGCAGCCUGGGAGCCAGUUGCAAUAAAGUCUUGCCAGUAACGUUUCUCUUAAGAACGGGGAGAAAAUACUAUGAAAAGUCACAUUUACUUUGAUCUAGAAUUAAGUAAAUUUUGGUGUUUGGGUCUUUGGUAAAAUGUCACAAGUGGGAAGUCAGGACUCACAUGAUGUCCAGGCUUCUUUCUAUGAGAAUUAUUUUUAGUUUCUCUUGGUAUGCUUGGGUUUCAUAUUAUAUCCCCCAACCCCACCACCCGUAAAUAAAGGAGAACGAAAAAAGGGAGAAAGAAGUUUAGGAACGGGAGUGGCCCCUGCAGUUGUCUGCUUGGCAUCCAGCCUGCCUUGGUCCGUGGCAGCCUGUGGUCUGGGUGGGCGUUGCCCCUCGUCACGUCCUGUGGGGAGCUGUGAUUGGCUCACGCUCGUCAGGGCAGCCCCACCCCCUGGGCAAGUGGCUCAGUUCAAACUCAUGAGAUGUGAGCUUUGGUCACGAAGGCCCGUGCUUCUCUUUCGUGCUUCUCUUUAGAAAAAGCUACUCAAAGAAAUGAUCGCUUCCCGGAUGUUGUAGUCCACGAAUAUUAUGUCUGGAACAUCAGAGCCAUCUUGUCUCCAUGAUGGGAGUUUCACCUAAAGACAAAGCCAAAACCCAGCAGAGGACACAGCUGAAGGAACACGAGAAAGUGGCAUGGAAAGACUGAAGCCCCAGCACCGGCAGACCUCAGUUAUUGGAGCCAAUCAACCUCUUGUUACUGUUGAAGAAAUAAAAGAUCGCUGGGGAAAGAAGUCAUAAAUCCCUAAUUUAAUUGAAGUAUUGUCAAUAAUUGAAAUCAAUUAAAGAUUUAA